CAGACGAUGUCGAAGAUGAAAUUAUGUUUACCCAGAGCCCUGAAAGUAAUGUCAAGGCAUGGGUUCUAUGGAGUAGAACAAAACUUACCUUUAUUGACCAAUGAACACCAUUCUAUUCGUCAAUUGUGCAACUUUUUCCCGAUUUUUUGCCGUAUUCCGAGACACCAAAUUGAUGACCAAUUCCAAACUACAAAACAACCAACUUUGUUAGACAAUCGUCCAACUGUGUGUCAUCCCUGGUUAAGACUCAAAACAGGCCAAGACAAAGAGGAUGUAGAAGAUAUUGAAGAAAGAGUCAGCUCAAACGAGGGUUUAGAUGCCAAGCUGAUCAAUGUAAAAAUCUAUUAGAUCCUAUCCUGAUUAUGAUGAAGAUGAUGUUGCUAAAUCAAAACCUAAACAACUGAUGAUAGUUGUUGGCUCAACACGAUUAGAUGCUGUUAUUACAAAAGCCUUUGGGAUCAGCAGAUCAAAAACAGAAGAGAAACUUGCAACAAAAAACUGCUUGGUCAAUGGGAAACUUCCUCAAAAGAAAGCAACACAGAUAAAAGUUGGAGACUGCAUUGAUAUUGUCUUGGAUCAAAUGACACGUAUUACAAAGCUCAAAGGACUCGUAUUUUAGAUGUUAUAUCAGAAAAGACAAAAGCAGGCAGGACAAAGAUGAUAAUAAGACUGUGGAAAAAACCUUUUCAUGUGGAGAUGACUUGAUUAAGCUAGAAUGAAUAAAAUUGUGACAAAAUUUA